rnacentral:rRNA from 1 species
UGGGGAAUUUUGGACAAUGGGGGCAACCCUGAUCCAGCCAUCCCGCGUGUGCGAUGAAGGCCUUCGGGUUGUAAAGCACUUUUGGCAGGGAAGAAACGGCGCUGGUUAAUACCUGGCGCACCUGACGGUACCUGCAGAAUAAGCACCGGCUAACUACGUGCCAGCAGCCGCGGUAAUACGUAGGGUGCAAGCGUUAAUCGGAAUUACUGGGCGUAAAGCGUGCGCAGGCGGUUCGGCAAGAAGGAUGUGAAAUCCCAGGGCUUAACCUUGGAACUGCAUUCUUAACUGCCAGGCUAGAGUAUGUCAGAGGGGGGUAGAAUUCCACGUGUAGCAGUGAAAUGCGUAGAGAUGUGGAGGAAUACCGAUGGCGAAGGCAGCCCCCUGGGAUAAUACUGACGCUCAUGCACGAAAGCGUGGGGAGCAAACAGG